rnacentral:rRNA from 1 species
AUGCAUGUCUAAGUACGGCUCUAGUACGGUGAAACUGCGAAUGGCUCAUUAAAUCAGUUUUGGUUCAUUUGAUCGUAAACAUUUACAUGGAUAACUGUUGUAAUUCAAGAGCUAAUACGUGCUAAAAGUGAGAGUCUUUGAUUCUCAUGCUUUUAUCAGAUCAAAACCUUUCGUCUUCGGGCGUUAUCGUUGUGGCGAGUCUGGAUAAUUUUAGCUGAUCGCAUGGUCUCGAACCGGCGAUGGAUCAUUCAAGUGUCUGACCUAUCAACUUUCGAUGGUAGCGUAUUGGUCUACCAUGGUUGUAACGGGUAACGGAGAAUUAGGGUUUGGUUCCGGAGAGGGAGCCUGAGAAACGGCUACCACA